rnacentral:rRNA from 1 species
CCUACGGGUGGCAGCAGUGAGGAAUAUUGGUCAAUGGACGAGAGUCUGAACCAGCCAAGUAGCGUGAAGGAUGACUGCCCUAUGGGUUGUAAACUUCUUUUAUAUGGGAAUAAAAUGUUCCACGUGUGGGAUUUUGUAUGUACCAUAUGAAUAAGGAUCGGCUAACUCCGUGCCAGCAGCCGCGGUAAUACGGAGGAUCCGAGCGUUAUCCGGAUUUAUUGGGUUUAAAGGGAGCGUAGGUGGAUUGUUAAGUCAGUUGUGAAAGUUUGCGGCUCAACCGUAAAAUUGCAGUUGAAACUGGCAGUCUUGAGUACAAUAGAGGUGGGCGGAAUUCGUGGUGUAGCGGUGAAAUGCUUAGAUAUCACGAAGAACUCCGAUUGCGAAGGCAGUUCACUGGACUGCAACUGACACUGAGGCUCGAAAGUGUGGGUAUCAAACAGGAUUAGAUACCCGAGUAGUC